AGUACUCCUACGGGGAGGCAGCAAUGGGGGAAUAUUGCACAAUGGGCGCAAGCCUGAUGCAGCCAUGCCGCGUGUGUGAAGAAGGCCUUCGGGUUGUUAAAGCACUUUCAGUCGUGAGGAAGGUAGUGUAGUUAAUAGCUGCAUUAUUUGACGUUAGCGACAGAAGAAGCACCGGCUAACUCCGUGCCAGCAGCCGCGGUAAUACGGAGGGUGCGAGCGUUAAUCGGAAUUACUGGGCGUAAAGCGCAUGCAGGUGGUUUGUUAAGUCAGAUGUGAAAGCCCGGGGCUCAACCUCGGAAUAGCAUUUGAAACUGGCAGACUAGAGUACUGUAGAGGGGGGUAGGAAUUUCAGGUGUAGCGGUGAAAUGCGUAGAGAUCUGAAGGAAUACCGGUGGCGAAGGCGGCCCCCUGGACAGAUACUGACACUCAGAUGCGAAAGCGUGGGGAGCAAACAGGAUUAGAUACCCUGGUAG
rnacentral:rRNA from 1 species